UUCAAGGCAGGGACCUUUCACUGUUGUUCUGUUUGUUACUUUGGAGCAAGUUCGCAAGUUGUUGAAGGAUUUCUGAGUUGCUAGAUUGAUGAUGGCGAAGAUUUUUAGUUUUUAAGUUGAUUCCAAUAAACUCUGUUUUAAUUUUUGUCUUCUAAUGUGGUUGUUCUAGAUGGUAAUUUUGAUUAAUGAAAACCAUGAUUUUAAAUUGAUGUGCAGAUCUUAUAUCGGAAUGACAAAACACCAGAAAAUGUGGUUUAUGCUACUUAUGAUAUUCAUAUUGAAUAUUAAUCACCUAUAAAAUAUGAUUAAUUGUAAAUGCUUAGAUUGUACGUGAUUAAAAUUGUGGUUAAUUCAAUUACUUAAUACACAAUUAGACAAUUUUGAACGUGUAAAGAUCUGAUGUUAUGAAACAUUUUUUGCCACAAUAACAACUGUGAUGUGUUGUUAAAAAAGCUGUGAUGCUGUUGGAAGAUCUAAAAUCAUUAUGUUAGACAAUUAGUAAAAUAUAAACCAUUAUGAAAAACAUUAAACAUGUUAAAUGUUUUUACAAAUCGGGACUUUGACUGUUUGUGACAGCAAAGCAGGCAUUUUUGGUGUGAAUGUAUUUUAAUCCAAGAAAGGAAUUGCGUAUACGUAAUUAUUAGAUAGUUGAAAGUUCCAAACUUGUAUUUUUCGUUUCAUUUUUUGAAAGGAAGGUGCAACCAAAAUUUGUAA
rnacentral:lncRNA from 1 species